GACGAACGCUGGCGGCGUGCCUAACACAUGCAAGUCGAGCGAGGUUGCGGAUGGGUGCUUGCACCCUGAAGCUACCUAGCGGCGGACGGGUGAGUAACGCGUGAGUAACCUGCCUUAUACAGGGGGAUAACAACGAGAAAUCGUUGCUAAUACCGCAUAAGACCACGGUAUCGCAUGGUACAGGGGUAAAAGGAGCAAUCCGGUAUAAGAUGGACUCGCGUCCCAUUAGCUAGUUGGUGAGAUAACAGCCCACCAAGGCAACGAUGGGUAGCCGACCUGAGAGGGUGAUCGGCCACACUGGGACUGAGACACGGCCCAGACUCCUACGGGAGGCAGCAGUGGGGAAUAUUGGGCAAUGGGCGAAAGCCUGACCCAGCAACGCCGCGUGAAGGAAGAAGGUCUUCGGGAUUGUAAACUUCUGUCGUCAGGGACGAAAAAGGACGGUACCUGGCAAGAAAGCCCCGGUAACUACGUGCCAGCAGCCGCGGUAAAAUGCGUACU
rnacentral:rRNA from 1 species